rnacentral:rRNA from 1 species
UACGUAGGGUCCGAGCGUUAUCCGGAAUUAUUGGGCGUAAAGAGCUUGUAGGCGGUUUGUCGCGUCUGCUGUGAAAAUCCGGGGCUCAACCCCGGACUUGCAGUGGGUACGGGCAGACUAGAGUGUGGUAGGGGAGACUGGAAUUCCUGGUGUAGCGGUGGAAUGCGUAGAUAUCAGGAGGAACACCGAUGGCGAAGGCAGGUCUCUGGGCCACUACUGACGCUGAGAAGCGAAAGCAUGGGGAGCGAACAGG